rnacentral:rRNA from 1 species
GGAAUAUUGGACAAUGGGCGCAAGCCUGAUCCAGCCAUGCCGCGUGUGUGAAGAAGGCCUUCGGGUUGUAAAGCACUUUCAGUGGUGAGGAAGGGGAGUAAGUUAAUAGCUUAUUUCAUUGACGUUAGCCACAGAAGAAGCACCGGCUAACUCCGUGCCAGCAGCCGCGGUAAUACGGAGGGUGCAAGCGUUAAUCGGAAUUACUGGGCGUAAAGCGCACGUAGGCGGUUUGUUAAGCAAGAUGUGAAAGCCCAGGGCUCAACCUUGGAAUAGCAUUUUGAACUGGCAGACUAGAGUUUUGAAGAGGGUGGUAGAAUUUCCAGUGUAGCGGUGAAAUGCGUAGAUAUUGGAAGGAAUACCAGUGGCGAAGGCGGCCACUUGGUCAAAAACUGACGCUGAGGAGCGAAAGCGUGGGGAGCAA